rnacentral:rRNA from 1 species
GUGCACCAGUCGAGAAUAUUUGGCAAUGGGGGAAACCCUGACCAUGCGACGCCGCGUGGGGGACGAAGGCCUUCGGGUUGUAAACCCCCUGUGUUAUGGGAAGAAUCCCCUCUUGGUGAACAACUAGGAGGGUUGACGGUACCAUAGUAGAAAGCCCCGGCUAACUACGUGCCAGCAACUGCGGUAAGACGUAGGGGGCGAGCGUUGUCCGGAUUUAUUGGGCGUAAAGGGCGUCUAGGCGGCUGUGUCAGUCCGAUGUGAAAUCGCUGGGCUCAACCGAGCAACUGCAUCGGAUACUGCACAGCUUGAGUACGGGAGAGGGAAGUGGAAUGAGCAGUGUAGCGGUG